rnacentral:lncRNA from 12 species
UUCUCCACAUCUGCUUGCUUCCUUUGUCUCUCUUUCCUUAUUCCCUUUGCAUUUAGAGGAGAGAGAAGAAACAUCGGGAUGCCAGGACAGCAGCAUGGAAUGGGGCCUCCUGCCCUCACCUCAACCAGAAAUUGAGUGAAAGCCACAUCAAGAGGAAUUCUGAAAGUGGCAUCUGGAUGAAAGGGAGCCUCUUGGACACUCCAGCAGCUGGUGAGGACCCCAGGCCUUCUGAUUCCUUAGACUUCUGUCUUACGGCACCAGGGGAAGGCAGGUGAGAACUUCCAAGCCGGGGUUUCCCAGAGUGUCCUCCCUCUUGGCCCUAAGGCUUUUUCUCCCAUAGGUGUAGCCAAUUCUAAUUCUCUAUUGCUUUAGAGUUGUAAUAUCCUUUUCACUUUUUAUUAAGUUCCUGUAUCCCAAAAUGUAGUACAGGUAAACAUUUAUAUACAGCAAAAUAUAUGAUCCAGUUCUAACCCUUCCGUAGAUGUGAGAUUUUUACCCUGUUUAACGUCACCCUAUUUGAGGCAGGGCAGUAAAUCAGAGCUGUGCCCAAUUUACUUUCUCUUACUUUCCAACCACUCCUCACCCUCACCAAGAGCCAGUGAUUAGGGCCUGGACCUUAGCCUCCCGUCCAUCAGGCAAACCCUAGCAGUGCAGAUGAGCUCACGUAGCUGCCCCAGAACUUCCAAGUACUUUAAAACCCUCCUUGCUUAGGACUUUUUGUGGGUUUGGACCAAGUGUAAAGGCUGAGGGGUGACCUCAGUGUCAUAAUAGGUCCCAGAGGCCUAGUAUUUGAGAGCGUAGGCCACAACCUCUGGAGCCCUGGCCUGACAAUGUGACAGCCCAGAGCUCUGAGAACCAGUAGUCACAGAACAACCCAGCUCUGGCCAGCCCGAGUGGGCAGGGAGGUCAUUGGGUCCUUCUCUACUUCCACCUUCAAAACCGCAUUAGGGGGUGUUAAAUGUCUUAGAUAGGCUCACAGUUAGGAUCCAGGAGAUAUUCCCUGCAAAAAUGCCACAAAAUGCAC